rnacentral:tRNA from 1 species
GGUGUUGUAGCUCAAUGGUAGAGCACUUGUCUAGCAUGUGUGAGGCACUGGACUUGAUCCUCAGCACCA